UUAAGUUAUUAAGGGCGCACGGUGGAUGCCUUGGCACUAGAAGCCGAUGAAGGACGUUACUAACGACGAUAUGCUUUGGGGAGCUGUAAGUAAGCUUUGAUCCAGAGAUUUCCGAAUGGGGAAACUCAGCAUGAGUUAUGUCAUGUUAUCGAUAUGUGAAUACAUAGCAUAUCAGAAGGCACACCCGGAGAACUGAAACAUCUUAGUACCCGGAGGAAGAGAAAGAAAAUUCGAUUCCCUUAGUAGCGGCGAGCGAAACGGGAAGAGCCCAAACCAACAAGCUUGCUUGUUGGGGUUGUAGGACACUCUAUACGGAGUUACAAAGGACGACAUUAGACGAAUCAUCUGGAAAGAUGAAUCAAAGAAGGUAAUAAUCCUGUAGUCGAAAAUGUUGUCUCUCUUGAGUGGAUCCUGAGUACGACGGAGCACGUGAAAUUCCGUCGGAAUCUGGGAGGACCAUCUCCUAAGGCUAAAUACUCUCUAGUGACCGAUAGUGAACCAGUACCGUGAGGGAAAGGUGAAAAGCACCCCGGAAGGGGAGUGAAAUAGAACCUGAAACCGUGUGCUUACAAGUAGUCAGAGCCCGUUAAUGGGUGAUGGCGUGCCUUUUGUAGAAUGAACCGGCGAGUUACGAUUUGAUGCAAGGUUAAGCAGUAAAUGUGGAGCCGUAGCGAAAGCGAGUCUGAAUAGGGCGUUUAGUAUUUGGUCGUAGACCCGAAACCAGGUGAUCUACCCUUGGUCAGGUUGAAGUUCAGGUAACACUGAAUGGAGGACCGAACCGACUUACGUUGAAAAGUGAGCGGAUGAACUGAGGGUAGCGGAGAAAUUCCAAUCGAACCUGGAGAUAGCUGGUUCUCUCCGAAAUAGCUUUAGGGCUAGCCUCAAGUGAUGAUUAUUGGAGGUAGAGCACUGUUUGGACGAGGGGCCCCUCUCGGGUUACCGAAUUCAGACAAACUCCGAAUGCCAAUUAAUUUAACUUGGGAGUCAGAACAUGGGUGAUAAGGUCCGUGUUCGAAAGGGAAACAGCCCAGACCACCAGCUAAGGUCCCAAAAUAUAUGUUAAGUGGAAAAGGAUGUGGCGUUGCCCAGACAACUAGGAUGUUGGCUUAGAAGCAGCCAUCAUUUAAAGAGUGCGUAAUAGCUCACUAGUCGAGUGACACUGCGCCGAAAAUGUACCGGGGCUAAACAUAUUACCGAAGCUGUGGAUUGUCCUUUGGACAAUGGUAGGAGAGCGUUCUAAGGGCGUUGAAGCAUGAUCGUAAGGACAUGUGGAGCGCUUAGAAGUGAGAAUGCCGGUGUGAGUAGCGAAAGACGGGUGAGAAUCCCGUCCACCGAUUGACUAAGGUUUCCAGAGGAAGGCUCGUCCGCUCUGGGUUAGUCGGGUCCUAAGCUGAGGCCGACAGGCGUAGGCGAUGGAUAACAGGUUGAUAUUCCUGUACCACCUAUAAUCGUUUUAAUCGAUGGGGGGACGCAGUAGGAUAGGCGAAGCGUGCGAUUGGAUUGCACGUCUAAGCAGUAAGGCUGAGUAUUAGGCAAAUCCGGUACUCGUUAAGGCUGAGCUGUGAUGGGGAGAAGACAUUGUGUCUUCGAGUCGUUGAUUUCACACUGCCGAGAAAAGCCUCUAGAUAGAAAAUAGGUGCCCGUACCGCAAACCGACACAGGUAGUCAAGAUGAGAAUUCUAAGGUGAGCGAGCGAACUCUCGUUAAGGAACUCGGCAAAAUGACCCCGUAACUUCGGGAGAAGGGGUGCUCUUUAGGGUUAACGCCCAGAAGAGCCGCAGUGAAUAGGCCCAAGCGACUGUUUAUCAAAAACACAGGUCUCUGCUAAACCGUAAGGUGAUGUAUAGGGGCUGACGCCUGCCCGGUGCUGGAAGGUUAAGAGGAGUGGUUAGCUUCUGCGAAGCUACGAAUCGAAGCCCCAGUAAACGGCGGCCGUAACUAUAACGGUCCUAAGGUAGCGAAAUUCCUUGUCGGGUAAGUUCCGACCCGCACGAAAGGCGUAACGAUUUGGGCACUGUCUCAACGAGAGACUCGGUGAAAUCAUAGUACCUGUGAAGAUGCAGGUUACCCGCGACAGGACGGAAAGACCCCGUGGAGCUUUACUGUAGCCUGAUAUUGAAAUUCGGCACAGCUUGUACAGGAUAGGUAGGAGCCUUUGAAACGUGAGCGCUAGCUUACGUGGAGGCGCUGGUGGGAUACUACCCUAGCUGUGUUGGCUUUCUAACCCGCACCACUUAUCGUGGUGGGAGACAGUGUCAGGCGGGCAGUUUGACUGGGGCGGUCGCCUCCUAAAAGGUAACGGAGGCGCUCAAAGGUUCCCUCAGAAUGGUUGGAAAUCAUUCAUAGAGUGUAAAGGCAUAAGGGAGCUUGACUGCGAGACCUACAAGUCGAGCAGGGUCGAAAGACGGACUUAGUGAUCCGGUGGUUCCGCAUGGAAGGGCCAUCGCUCAACGGAUAAAAGCUACCCCGGGGAUAACAGGCUUAUCUCCCCCAAGAGUUCACAUCGACGGGGAGGUUUGGCACCUCGAUGUCGGCUCAUCGCAUCCUGGGGCUGUAGUCGGUCCCAAGGGUUGGGCUGUUCGCCCAUUAAAGCGGUACGCGAGCUGGGUUCAGAACGUCGUGAGACAGUUCGGUCCCUAUCCGUCGUGGGCGUAGGAAAUUUGAGAGGAGCUGUCCUUAGUACGAGAGGACCGGGAUGGACAUACCUCUGGUGUACCAGUUGUCGUGCCAACGGCAUAGCUGGGUAGCUAUGUGUGGACGGGAUAAGUGCUGAAAGCAUCUAAGCAUGAAGCCCCCCUCAAGAUGAGAUUUCCCAACUUCGGUUAUAAGAUCCCUCAAAGAUGAUGAGGUUAAUAGGUUCGAGGUGGAAGCAUGGUGACAUGUGGAGCUGACGAAUACUAAUCGAUCGAAGACUUAAUCAA
rnacentral:rRNA from 1 species